GGUGGCUUAAUGGUAGAGUGCUUGCCUUGCAUGCACGAGGCCCUGGGUUCAAUUCCUCAGCACCA
rnacentral:tRNA from 1 species